rnacentral:rRNA from 1 species
GAUUAGUGGCGAACGGGUGAGUAACACGUGAGUAACCUGCCCUUGACUCUGGGAUAAGCCUGGGAAACUGGGUCUAAUACCGGAUAUGACCUUCCAUCGCAUGGUGGUUGGUGGAAAGCUUUUGUGGUUUUGGAUGGACUCGCGGCCUAUCAGCUUGUUGGUGGGGUAAUGGCCUACCAAGGCGACGACGGGUAGCCGGCCUGAGAGGGUGACCGGCCACACUGGGACUGAGACACGGCCCAGACUCCUACGGGAGGCAGCAGUGGGGAAUAUUGCACAAUGGGCGCAAGCCUGAUGCAGCGACGCCGCGUGAGGGAUGACGGCCUUCGGGUUGUAAACCUCUUUCAGUAGGGAAGAAGCGUAAGUGACGGUACCUGCAGAAGAAGCGCCGGCUAACUACGUGCCAGCAGCCGCGGUAAUACGUAGGGCGCAAGCGUUAUCCGGAAUUAUUGGGCGUAAAGAGCUCGUAGGCGGUUUGUCGCGUCUGCCGUGAAAGUCCGGGGCUCAACUCCGGAUCUGCGGUGGGUACGGGCAGACUAGAGUGAUGUAGGGGAGACUGGAAUUCCUGGUGUAGCGGUGAAAUGCGCAGAUAUCAGGAGGAACACCGAUGGCGAAGGCAGGUCUCUGGGCAUUAACUGACGCUGAGGAGCGAAAGCAUGGGGAGCGAACAGGAUUAGAUACCCUGGUAGUCCAUGCCGUAAACGUUGGGCACUAGGUGUGGGGGGACAUUCCACGUUUUCCGCGCCGUAGCUAACGCAUUAAGUGCCCCGCCUGGGGAGUACGGCCGCAAGGCUAAAACUCAAAGGAAUUGACGGGGGCCCGCACAAGCGGCGGAGCAUGCGGAUUAAUUCGAUGCAACGCGAAGAACCUUACCAAGGCUUGACAUGAACCGGAAAGAUCUGGAAACAGGUCCCCCACUUGUGGUCGGUUUACAGGUGGUGCAUGGUUGUCGUCAGCUCGUGUCGUGAGAUGUUGGGUUAAGUCCCGCAACGAGCGCAACCCUCGUUCUAUGUUGCCAGCACGUGAUGGUGGGGACUCAUAGGAGACUGCCGGGGUCAACUCGGAGGAAGGUGGGGACGACGUCAAAUCAUCAUGCCCCUUAUGUCUUGGGCUUCACGCAUGCUACAAUGGCCGGUACAAAGGGUUGCGAUACUGUGAGGUGGAGCUAAUCCCAAAAAGCCGGUCUCAGUUCGGAUUGGGGUCUGCAACUCGACCCCAUGAAGUCGGAGUCGCUAGUAAUCGCAGAUCAGCAACGCUGCGGUGAAUACGUUCCCGGGCCUUGUACACACCGCCCGUCAAGUCACGAAAGUUGGUAACACCCGAAGCCGGUGGCCUAACCCCUUGUGG